rnacentral:rRNA from 1 species
AAGUCGAACGGCAGCAUGAUCUAGCUUGCUAGAUUGAUGGCGAGUGGCGAACGGGUGAGUAAUACAUCGGAACGUGCCCUGUAGUGGGGGAUAACUAGUCGAAAGAUUAGCUAAUACCGCAUACGACCUGAGGGUGAAAGUGGGGGACCGCAAGGCCUCAUGCUAUAGGAGCGGCCGAUGUCUGAUUAGCUAGUUGGUGGGGUAAAGGCCCACCAAGGCGACGAUCAGUAGCUGGUCUGAGAGGACGAUCAGCCACACUGGGACUGAGACACGGCCCAGACUCCUACGGGAGGCAGCAGUGGGGAAUUUUGGACAAUGGGCGAAAGCCUGAUCCAGCAAUGCCGCGUGUGUGAAGAAGGCCUUCGGGUUGUAAAGCACUUUUGUCCGGAAAGAAAUGGCUCUGGUUAAUACCUGGGGUCGAUGACGGUACCGGAAGAAUAAGGACCGGCUAACUACGUGCCAGCAGCCGCGGUAAUACGUAGGGUCCAAGCGUUAAUCGGAAUUACUGGGCGUAAAGCGUGCGCAGGCGGUUGUGCAAGACCGAUGUGAAAUCCCCGAGCUUAACUUGGGAAUUGCAUUGGUGACUGCACGGCUAGAGUGUGUCAGAGGGGGGUAGAAUUCCACGUGUAGCAGUGAAAUGCGUAGAGAUGUGGAGGAAUACCGAUGGCGAAGGCAGCCCCCUGGGAUAACACUGACGCUCAUGCACGAAAGCGUGGGGAGCAAACAGGAUUAGAUACCCUGGUAGUCCACGCCCU